rnacentral:lncRNA from 1 species
AUUCUGGGCAGGAAUGUGUCUCUUUAUUGUUGUAUGGUACUCUGCCAAGCGUUUAGUACAGGGGUCUGCACACAGUUGGUGCUCAAUAAAUACAACUGAAUGCAUAAAUGAAUGAAUUCUCCUGUUCUGGGCUUCUCAGCACCUUAAGUCUGCUGGAGAAGAAAUAAAAUUGAGUUUCCCAGAAAGAUGGAACUGCCUUGGUCAAGGAGAUGGUAACUAAAAUAAGGGACACCUUUCAACUUUCUAACACAGACAGAAGAGUCCCGAUUUGAGGGGAAAAAAGAAAAUCCCACAUUUUGCUUCCUACUACAACUUCAGAAAGCAACAUUCAUGGAAAACAUUCUCAUGGGGAAACUCUAAGAAAAGGUAUCUUUUACUAUUCUCAAGAAAGAGUCCCAAAAUUACAACAAUGAAUAGGAUCCCAAAAGACAAAAUCAAUCAUAUUUAUUGAGAAUUUACCAUGUGCACAGCACUGAACUAAGCGCUUGGGAGAGUAUAACAGAGUUGGUAAAUAUGUUCCCUGCCCACAAUGAUCUUACAGUUUAGAGAUGUAGACUGACAUUAAUAAUAAAUGAAUUAUGGAUAUGUACAUAUGUGUCAUGGGGCCG